AUAAAACCAAACAGAUAUGCUUGAAUAUUUUUCAAGAGUUUCGUCGGUAGGUAUUAUGAGGUUUUCUCUUUCUUUUGGAAGUGGUAUACUUUUGCGGUACAUUGUAGUAUUGUAUUAUGAUAGUUUUCGGUUAUUUAUUGUAUUACAAAGAAUACAUCUAUUAUAUAAAGUAGACAGACGAAAAUUCGGCUUUGGCAAUACUUUGUUGUUUGUGGGUAUUUUUAUUAUUAUAUGUUUUAUGACAUGAAAAUAUAAUAAACUAACCUAACGAAUCUCUUCUUUUAUCGUUAUUAAUCCUAA